AGCAGGGGUUGUCAACGUUUUUCAAACCAAGGAGCCCUUAACUGAGAAGGAGACAGAGCAGGGACCCCCGACUAAAUAUAUUGUAUA